UCAACAACGGAUCUCUUGGUUCUGGCAUCGAUGAAGAACGCAGCGAAAUGCGAUAAGUAAUGUGAAUUGCAGAAUUCAGUGAAUCAUCGAAUCUUUGAACGCACAUUGCGCCCGGCAGUAAUCUGCCGGGCAUGCCUGUCCGAGCGUC
rnacentral:rRNA from 1 species